ensembl:lncRNA
CAAAACACCACAAAAGUGACUUUUGGCCUUUAAAUCUGAUCCAUCUCCAUUUGAGAUGCCACCGAGGCUACAGCUGAGACUGGAAGACCUUAUAUAAAUUUAAUUCAAUAAAAGUUAUUUGGAAACAUCAACCCUGAUUGGCAACUGAAAAAAAAAUAUGCUGCAGUUAUCAGAGUCCUCUGCACAUUUUUCCCAGCAGACAUUUUGUCUGUCUCACUUGUGGGGAACUACUCUGGGUCAGAAUGCUGCAGAUGCUUUUAUGAUUUAAAAUUGAAAAUUGAAAAAGAUGGUCUUUGUCGUGUAACUUUUAGCAGUGUUUCUUUUGCACGAGCAAAACUGUCUUCUGCCUUAAGAUGUUUAAUGAUUAUUUGAAAGCGACUUGAUGAAUAGAAGAGCGCGUACUCCCACAGGGGACAAACGUAUUUUUAGACUGACUCAUAAUAAUUAAUCUCUGUCGAAGUGUAAUGCAUUAAUUUCUCCUACUGGUAGGGGCUCUACUGCUGCCUCUUUUCCUAAGGUAGAUGGUUCUGCUCCAGGAGCUGAUUUAAGUGGACACAACCAGGUACUCAGUUAUGUGACUGUUACCUCAACGAUCUCUGUAGGAACACAGCAAAUAACUCACACAUGGCUGGAAAAGACUGCACGCGGGGGAGGAUGUCACAGGCUGCAGGGUGAGAAGCUCUGUGCCUUGUCAUCCGUUUCUUCCAUACCCGGUUUUGCCCUUUCUCUGCUGCUGCCACUGGAGUACAGAGAGACCCAGAGCAGUGAUGCCAUUCUGCUGCUGGCCCUGCCUGCUCUGACCUUUUCCAACCUCAGAGAAAGUUUUGGCCCUAACUCCUUUGCCAGGAGUCAUCCCUACAAAUCAAGAUGUUCCCCCUCCAGGUGAGAUGAUGCUUUGGAUGGGGCAGGCUGCUAUCACAUUGCCCUCAGUGGAGAUGUGUGAGCAAGGUAGAGAGAGAAUGAGGACUGGUGGAGCCGUACAAAAUGAGCUCAAAGUUCUCAUAGGGCUCAGUGGUGGUGUCUGGAUCUAAUGUGCUGCUAAUGAGGUUGAUAAGGAACCUGUGAGAGGGAAGGAAGUGGGAAAAAUGGCUGCAGGACCACGUGGAUGUCAAUGAAUAUGAAGUAGGGACAGAAUUAGGGUGGAGAAGACAUGGUUGGGUAAGGGUCAAGUUGAGGUAUUUGGGAUAGACUCCCAUUGAGAUGUUUAAUGAACUGAGCUUCUGUCUACCAAGGUGGUGCUUUCUCCAGUACCUGUACAGAGCUCAGCACCCAUGGUUCAGCUCUAACCUUCCCAGAGGUCUCCUGUUUCUGCCAGCAGACACGUCAGAUGUCAGCACACAUGCACUAUGUGGAUAGAGGGGGUGAUAAUAAGUAUGCAAGAACAUCUCUGGUGUAGGGAACUAUAUACUGCACAGUGAGUUGAUCCUUAGUGAUAGAGUCAUAGAAUUGUUUGAGUUAGAAGGGACCCUUAAAGCUCAUCUAAUCCAACUCACCUGCAAUGUUCUACCAGGUGCUUGGAGCCCCAUCCAGCUUGACCUUGAAAGUGAAGUACUGACCAAGUAGUGACCAAAUACUUCCUAAGCACUGGGAGGUGAGUCUGGGGCUUCAGGGCAAGGCAAGGUGGUCCCGUGUGCCUGAGUGGCAUCCUGAUGAACUGGAUUUAGUUUCUUCAGCUACCUGAAGCCUACUUUUUUGUAUUUUUGUAUUUUUGAAAAAAAAACUUGUAUUUUUG